rnacentral:sRNA from 1 species
UAUCCGGGUAGCCGGGCGCCCGGGUAGUACCUCGGUACGGGCAUGAUUCCGGGUCGAUGGCAAAUCAAAAAGGAAUCGCGCAGGCAGCUUGUCUGAGUUUGUCCUGAAGGGUGUCCUGGAGGACUGGAGCAGGAGCUGGAGCCGGUUUCGGUGGCAAAGCAACGGUAAGCAAACACAAACACCAGGACACCGGGAGACUGCGGACAAGGACGAGUACACGGACCAGAACACGCACUCAGCCAUGGGCGAAUGGGUUUUCGGGAAUGAGUCUGAAACGAGUGCAUCACAAUGAGGCAGGAGGACCUGCGCCUGGACCUGGACCUGGACCUGGUGCUGCAGCACUCAACGCUGCGUAUACGUAAUAUUUGAAGAGCCAUCGAUGCAAAAAAUGGUGAAUCAGUGUUUUUACUGGUUUUAUUAUUUGCACAUUUGCACCGAAAACUCAUUCGCAUCUGCUUUUCCUCCAACGAGUGUGGAAAAUACCAAAAACCGAAUGAAAUCGCACAACAAAAAGGAACAGCAAGGAGAGACAGUGCGUCCCGCUUGCGGAUGGUCUAUGAAAAAACCAUUUAACUUUGUGCACUCGCAGGCAAAACCGGCACACCGCAUCACACAUUAAACAUAGGCAAACACAGGCGGAGGACACUCGCCCAGGAGCUGUGAGAGAGCUGCAGAGAGGGGGAACGCAGGGAGUCACACGCUCGACAAAAUGCGAAUUUGUGGCCUGGCCCCCGGCAGACAUCCUUUGCCCCAGUUCGAAACAGGAGGGAAUAUGCCCCAGUUGAAUGUACUAUUUUGUUGCUCACAUAAUUAAAACGAGAUCAA